UUGAAGAGUUUGAUCAUGGCUCAGAUUGAACGCUGGCGGCAGGCCUAACACAUGCAAGUCGAGCGGUAGCACAGAGAGCUUGCUCUCGGGUGACGAGCGGCGGACGGGUGAGUAAUGUCUGGGAAACUGCCUGAUGGAGGGGGAUAACUACUGGAAACGGUAGCUAAUACCGCAUAACGUCGCAAGACCAAAGUGGGGGACCUUCGGGCCUCAUGCCAUCAGAUGUGCCCAGAUGGGAUUAGCUAGUAGGUGGGGUAACGGCUCACCUAGGCGACGAUCCCUAGCUGGUCUGAGAGGAUGACCAGCCACACUGGAACUGAGACACGGUCCAGACUCCUACGGGAGGCAGCAGGGGAAUAUUGCACAAUGGGCGCAAGCCUGAUGCAGCCAUGCCGCGUGUGAAGAAGGCCUUCGGGUUGUAAAGCACUUUCAGCGGGGAGGAAGGCGGUGAGGUUAAUAACCUCAUCGAUUGACGUUACCCGCAGAAGAAGCACCGGCUAACUCCGUGCCAGCAGCCGCGGUAAUACGGAGGGUGCAAGCGUUAAUCGGAAUUACUGGGCGUAAAGCGCACGCAGGCGGUCUGUCAAGUCGGAUGUGAAAUCCCCGGGCUCAACCUGGGAACUGCAUUCGAAACUGGCAGGCUAGAGUCUUGUAGAGGGGGGUAGAAUUCCAGGUGUAGCGGUGAAAUGCGUAGAGAUCUGGAGGAAUACCGGUGGCGAAGGCGGCCCCCUGGACAAAGACUGACGCUCAGGUGCGAAAGCGUGGGGAGCAAACAGGAUUAGAUACCCUGGUAGUCCACGCCGUAAACGAUGUCGAUUUGGAGGUUGUGCCCUUGAGGCGUGGCUUCCGGAGCUAACGCGUUAAAUCGACCGCCUGGGGAGUACGGCCGCAAGGUUAAAACUCAAAUGAAUUGACGGGGGCCCGCACAAGCGGUGGAGCAUGUGGUUUAAUUCGAUGCAACGCGAAGAACCUUACCUGGUCUUGACAUCCACAGAACUUUCCAGAGAUGGAUUGGUGCCUUCGGGAACUGUGAGACAGGUGCUGCAUGGCUGUCGUCAGCUCGUGUUGUGAAAUGUUGGGUUAAGUCCCGCAACGAGCGCAACCCUUAUCCUUUGUUGCCAGCGGUUAGGCCGGGAACUCAAAGGAGACUGCCAGUGAUAAACUGGAGGAAGGUGGGGAUGACGUCAAGUCAUCAUGGCCCUUACGACCAGGGCUACACACGUGCUACAAUGGCAUAUACAAAGAGAAGCGACCUCGCGAGAGCAAGCGGACCUCAUAAAGUAUGUCGUAGUCCGGAUUGGAGUCUGCAACUCGACUCCAUGAAGUCGGAAUCGCUAGUAAUCGUAGAUCAGAAUGCUACGGUGAAUACGUUCCCGGGCCUUGUACACACCGCCCGUCACACCAUGGGAGUGGGUUGCAAAAGAAGUAGGUAGCUUAACCUUCGGGAGGGCGCUUACCACUUUGUGAUUCAUGACUGGGGUGAAGUCGUAACAAGGUAACCGUAGGGGAACCUGCGGUUGGAUCACCUCCUU
rnacentral:rRNA from 1 species